rnacentral:rRNA from 1 species
UACGGGGGGGGCAAGCGUUGUUCGGAAUUACUGGGCGUAAAGGGCUCGUAGGUGGCCAACUAAGUCGGACGUGAAAUCCCCCGGCUUAACCUGGGAACUGCGUCUGAUACUGGAAGGCUGGAGUUCGGGAGAGGGAUGUGGAAUUCCAGGUGUAGCGGUGAAAUGCGUAGAUAUCUGGGAGGAACACCGGUGGCGAAGGCGGCAUCCUGGACCGAAACUGACGCUGAGGCGCGAAAGCCAGGGGAGCAAACGGG